AGAGUUUGAUCCUGGCUCAGGAUGAACGCUGGCGGCGUGCCUAACACAUGCAAGUCGAACGAAGCGCUUUUACUCGAUUCUUCGGAUGAUGGUAAUAGUGACUGAGUGGCGGACGGGUGAGUAACGCGUGGGUAACCUGCCUCAUACAGGGGGAUAACAGUUAGAAAUGACUGCUAAUACCGCAUAAGACCACGGAGUCGCAUGACUCAGUGGGAAAAACUCCGGUGGUAUGAGAUGGACCCGCGUCUGAUUAGGUAGUUGGUGGGGUAACGGCCUACCAAGCCGACGAUCAGUAGCCGACCUGAGAGGGUGACCGGCCACAUUGGGACUGAGACACGGCCCAAACUCCUACGGGAGGCAGCAGUGGGGAAUAUUGCACAAUGGGGGAAACCCUGAUGCAGCGACGCCGCGUGAGCGAAGAAGUAUUUCGGUAUGUAAAGCUCUAUCAGCAGGGAAGAAAAUGACGGUACCUGACUAAGAAGCACCGGCUAAAUACGUGCCAGCAGCCGCGGUAAUACGUAUGGUGCAAGCGUUAUCCGGAUUUACUGGGUGUAAAGGGAGCGUAGACGGCUGUGUAAGUCUGAAGUGAAAGCCCGGGGCUCAACCCCGGGACUGCUUUGGAAACUAUGCAGCUAGAGUGUCGGAGAGGUAAGUGGAAUUCCCAGUGUAGCGGUGAAAUGCGUAGAUAUUGGGAGGAACACCAGUGGCGAAGGCGGCUUACUGGACGAUGACUGACGUUGAGGCUCGAAAGCGUGGGGAGCAAACAGGAUUAGAUACCCUGGUAGUCCACGCCGUAAACGAUGACUACUAGGUGUCGGGUGUCACAGACAUUCGGUGCCGCAGCAAACGCAAUAAGUAGUCCACCUGGGGAGUA
rnacentral:rRNA from 1 species